AAAGACUAGAGCCUAGAGUUGAGCAAAGAGAUGGGUAUUGGGUAGUUAAGGAUAAGUUCAGACAAGGCAUAAAUCCAGCUGAAAAGGCGAAGAUUGAAAAGGAACCAAUGAAACUAUUCACUGAAAAUGGUAUCGAAGAUCUUGCUAAGAUCUCGCUUGAAGAGAUCGAGAAAUCAAAGCUAACUAAAGAAGAUAUUGAUAUUCGCCUCAAGUGGCUUGGACUCUUCCAUCGGAGAAAACACCACUAUGGUCGAUUCAUGAUGCGAUUGAAGCUUCCAAAUGGAGUAACGACGAGUGAUCAAACUCGAUAUUUAGGUAGUGUGAUUAGGAAAUAUGGGAAAGAUGGAUGUGGUGAUGUGACUACAAGGCAAAAUUGGCAGAUUCGUGGGGUUGUGUUACCUGAUGUGCCUGAGAUUCUAAAGGGGCUUGAUGAAGUUGGCUUGACUAGUCUGCAGAGUGGCAUGGAUAAUGUUCGAAAUCCGGUGGGGAAUCCUCUCGCAGGGAUUGAUCUUCAUGAAAUUGUAGACACAAGGCCUUACACUAAUUUGCUGUCCCAAUAUGUCACCGCCAAUUUUCGUGGCAAUGUGGAUGUGACUAACUUGCCAAGGAAGUGGAAUGUAUGUGUAAUAGGGUCACAUGAUCUUU
rnacentral:misc_RNA from 1 species